ACGGCUCAGUAACACGUGGACAAUCUGCCCUAAGGUGGGGAAUAAUCUCGGGAAACUGAGCAUAAUACCCCAUAGGUCAUGGAUGCUGGAAUGCUUCAUGGUCAAAAGCUCCGGCGCCUUAGGAUGAGUCUGCGGCCUAUCAGGUAGUAGUGGGUGUAGUGGACCCACUAGCCACUGACGGGUACGGGCGUUGGGAGACGUCGCCCGGAGAUGGAUUCUGAGACACGAAUCCAGGCCCUACGGGGCGCAGCAGUUACGAAAACUUGGCAAUGCGGGAAACCGCGACCAGGGAAUUCCAAGUGCAUGCACUUAGUGUAUGCUGUUCCAUUGUCUUAAAAACAUAGGAAGUAAGGGCUGGGUAAGACAGGUGCCAGCCGCCGCGGUAAUACCUGCAGCCCGAGUGGUGGUCGAUAUUAUUGAGCCUAAAGCGUCCGUAGCCGGACCAGUAAAUUCUUGGGUAAAUCGGGCAGCUUAACUGUCCGACUUCCGAGGAGACUGCUGGUCUUGGGACUGGGAGAGGUCAGAGGUACUCCAGGGGUAGGGGCUAAAUCCUGUAAUCCUUGGGGGACCACCAGUGGCGAAGGCGUCUGACUAGAACGGAUCCGACGGUAAGGGACGAAACCCUGGGUCGCAAACCGGAUUAGAUACCCGGGUAGUCCAGGGCGUAAACGCUGCAGGCUUGGUGUUGAGGAUCCUACGAGGAUGUUCAGUGCCGGAGUGAAGAUGUUAAGCCUGCCGCUUGGGGAGUACGUCCGCAAGGAUGAAACGUAAAGGAAUUGGCGGGGGAGCAC
rnacentral:rRNA from 1 species